CAGUAGCCACGGGAAAACGGAGGGGGCUAGCGUUGUUCGGAAUCACUGGGCGUAAAGCGCACGUAGGCGGCUUUGCAAGUCAGAGGUGAAAGCCCGGGGCUCAACCCCGGAUGUGCCUUUGAGACUGUGAGGCUUGAACGUCGGAGAGGUGAGUGGAAUUCCGAGUGUAGAGGUGAAAUUCGUAGAUAUUCGGAAGAACACCAGUGGCGAAGGCGGCUCACUGGACGACUGUUGACGCUGAGGUGCGAAAGCGUGGGGAGCAAACAGGAUUAGAUACCCCCGUAGUCCCUGUCUCUUAUAC
rnacentral:rRNA from 1 species